rnacentral:rRNA from 1 species
AGUGAACGCUGGCGGUAGGCCUAACGCAUGCAAGUCGAACGGCAGCACAGUAAGAGCUUGCUCUUACGGGUGGCGAGUGGCGGACGGGUGAGGAAUACACCGGAAUCUACUUUUUCGUGGGGGAUAACGUAGGGAAACUUACGCUAAUACCGCAUACGACCUACGGGUGAAAGCAGGGGAUCUUCGGACCUUGCGCGAUUGAAUGAGCCGAUGUCGGAUUAGCUAGUUGGCGGGGUAAAGGCCCGCCAAGGCGACGAUCCGUAGCUGGUCUGAGAGGAUGAUCAGCCACACUGGAACUGAGACACGGUCCAGACUCCUACGGGAGGCAGCAGUGGGGAAUAUUGGACAAUGGGCGCAAGCCUGAUCCAGCCAUACCGCGUGGGUGAAGAAGGCCUUCGGGUUGUAAAGCCCUUUUGUUGGGAAAGAAAAGCAGCAGGUUAAUACCCCGCUGUUCUGACGGUACCCAAAGAAUAAGCACCGGCUAACUUCGUG